rnacentral:rRNA from 1 species
GACGUAGGGCGCGAGCGUUGUCCGGAUUUAUUGGGCGUAAAGCGCGUGUAGGCGGCUCGGCAAGUCGGGUGUGAAAGCCCUGGGCUUAACCUAGGAAGUGCACUCGAAACUGCCAAGCUUGAGUUCUGGAGAGGAAGGCGGAAUUCUCGGUGUAGAGGUGAAAUUCGUAGAUAUCGAGAGGAACACCGGUGGCGAAGGCGGCCUUCUGGACAGCAACUGACGCUGAGACGCGAAAGCGUGGGGAGCAAACAGG